rnacentral:rRNA from 1 species
AUUGAACGCUGGCGGCAUGCCUUACACAUGCAAGUCGAACGGCAGCACGGGAGCAAUCCUGGUGGCGAGUGGCGAACGGGUGAGUAAUAUAUCGGAACGUGCCCAGUCGUGGGGGAUAACGCAGCGAAAGCUGUGCUAAUACCGCAUACGAUCUACGGAUGAAAGCGGGGGAUCGCAAGACUUCGCGCGAUUGGAUCGGCCGAUAUCAGAUUAGCGAGUUGGUGAGGUAAAGGCUCACCAAGGCGACGAUCUGUAGCUGGUCUGAGAGGACGACCAGCCACACUGGAACUGAGACACGGUCCAGACUCCUACGGGAGGCAGCAGUGGGGAAUUUUGGACAAUGGGCGCAAGCCUGAUCCAGCAAUGCCGCGUGCAGGAUGAAGGCCUUCGGGUUGUAAACUGCUUUUGUACGGAACGAAACGGUGAGCUCUAAUACAGUUUGCUAAUGACGGUACCGUAAGAAUAAGCACCGGCUAACUACGUGCCAGCCGCCGCCGUAAAAC